rnacentral:rRNA from 1 species
UACGUAGGGUGCGAGCGUUGUCCGGAAUUAUUGGGCGUAAAGAGCUUGUAGGCGGUCUGUCGCGUCUGCUGUGAAAAUCCGGGGCUCAACCCCGGACUUGCAGUGGGUACGGGCAGACUAGAGUGUGGUAGGGGAGACUGGAAUUCCUGGUGUAGCGGUGAAAUGCGCAGAUAUCUGGAGGAACACCGGUGGCGAAGGCGGCAUCCUGGACCAACACUGACACUGAGGAGCGAAAGCCAGGGGAGCAAACGGG